GCUCCUGCUUUUCUUUCUUUCUUUCCCCCCGUUUUUUCCAUCUUCUUUCUCACAGAUUUAUCUAUAUCUUCGUUUUUAGAUAUUUUCGCCUUUUUUAUAAUCUAUUCUUUCAAAAAUACAAUUAGGGUUUCUUCGUUUUUUCGUUUUCCCCCUUUUUAAGAUUGGAGUUUCAACUCUCUUGCUUCCACCAUCAAGAAUUUCACCUUCUCCAUUGAAGUGGUUUACGAGCUUUCUCACUCCAUUGAAGCAGCACCUCCUUCUCUCUCCAUAUCUCUGGCCUCCAUUGAACUCGUGCUCUAUAUUCUCCAUUGAAGCCGAUUCUGAGCUUUCUCACCUCCAUUGAAGCAGCUUCGAGGUGUUUUGGUAAUUUUGGAUUAACAACUUUUGGUUUAUAAGGAAAUCUUUUCGUGGUGGUUACGUAGUAUUCCUUGUUUCCCUUGCUUGUUUGGUAAAGGAGUCGAAUCUGCUGUCAAUACUCCUGCUGCUGCUGCUGAAGGCUACUUGUGGUUUGACAUACAACCCAAAGGAACAAGUAGCUGACAUUGAUGCAUCUGAUGUUGAUAAUGGGUUAGAUGUGGUUGAAUAUGUUGAAGAUAUCUACACUUUCUAUAAGAUAGCAGAGAAUGAGAGUCGGCCUUGUGACUACAUGAAUUCGCAACCCGAAAUCAACGACAAAAUGAGGGCUAUCUUAGUUGAUUGGUUGAUUGAAGUGCACAACAGAUUUGAGCUUAUGUCUUAGACCCUUUAUCUGACCAUUAACUUGGUUGAUUAGUUUCUUUCGUCGAAAUCUGUCCCAAGGAGAGAAUUGCAGCUUCUGGGUAUUAGUGCUAUGUUGAUUGCUUGCAAGUAUGAGGAAAUCUGGGCUCCUGAGGUACUUACUACAGAAAUUAUAUACUGUGCUGUUUAUAGUUUUGAAACCCUAGAUUAAUUCUUGUAAAUGUUUCAAGUUAACGACUUUGUGAGCAUAUCAGAAAGGGCAUACAACAAUGAACAAAUUCUAAAAAUGGAGAAGGCCAUACUAGGCCAGUUAGAAUGGUAAAAAAAGAAAAUUGCUACUGGGUUUUUGUUGUUAGCGUUCUAUGGGUUUUUGUUGUUGGGAUAACAUGCUAGCUGGCCCUUUCUGCUGUA